rnacentral:rRNA from 1 species
GACGAACGCUGGCGGCGUGCUUAACACAUGCAAGUCGAACGGAAAGGCCCUGCUUUUGUGGGGUGCUCGAGUGGCGAACGGGUGAGUAACACGUGAGUAACCUGCCCUUGACUUUGGGAUAACUUCAGGAAACUGGGGCUAAUACCGGAUAGGAGCUCCUGCUGCAUGGUGGGGGUUGGAAAGUUUCGGCGGUUGGGGAUGGACUCGCGGCUUAUCAGCUUGUUGGUGGGGUAGUGGCUUACCAAGGCUUUGACGGGUAGCCGGCCUGAGAGGGUGACCGGCCACAUUGGGACUGAGAUACGGCCCAGACUCCUACGGGAGGCAGCGGUGGGGAAUAUGGCACAAUGGGCGGAAGCCUGAUGCAGCAACGCCGCGUGCGGGAUGACGGCCUUCGGGUUGUAAACCGCUUUCGCCUGUGACGAAGCGUGAGUGACGGUAAUGGGUAAAGAAGCACCGGCUAACUACGUG